rnacentral:lncRNA from 1 species
CUGAAAAAUAGUUAACUGGGCUGCGAAAAUUCUACGAAGUACUCAACAAUCAGAUUAAGCAUCGAUCGCGCAGGUUCACGCAAGGGAUUAUGUAAAUAUAUAUUAUUGGUCAUCGAUGAUUCCAAUUCCGAUUCUACAAUAUUCUUGUCAAAGUUGUAUUAGCAAUUAGAAAAAUAAAAAAUCGAAGGAAUAAAACGGGAAAAUUCGAGAAACGAGAGCCGCGACGGAAGUGCGUUGCGUGCUGACUUCGGAACGGUUCUGCUGCAAAAAUUCGAACCGACGACAGAAAUAAACCGAGGCCAUUUUCUGAUUAUUAUUAAUCUAUGACACUGUUCUUGGCCUCGCAAAUUACGUGGACUUCGUCAUCGAUGCUCGACAAGCCGAACUAAUUCUCGACCAUAACACGAAUAACUCUGACGUACAGCGCAAAAUACGAUAAAAUAAAGAAAUUUUUGUUGAAAUCCACGA